rnacentral:rRNA from 1 species
GACGAACGCUGGCGGCGUGCUUAAUACAUGCAAGUCGAGCGAACAGACGAGGAGCUUGCGCGUUUCACGAUAGCCGCGGACGGGUGAGAAACGCGUGUAACACCUCCCUAUAAUAGGGGGAACUCUUCGAGAAUCCGGCUAUUAUCGCAGAUGAUAUCCUGCACCGCAUGGUUGAAUAGUAAGAUACGGCUUUGGUGUCAGUACUCGAUGGUUCCGGGCUGCUUUAGCUAGUCGGUGAGGUAACGGCUUACCAAGGCGACGAGGCGUAGCCGACUGGAGAGGGUGAUCGGCCACACGGGAGCUGAGACACGGUCCAGACUCCUACGGGAGGCAGCAGUAGGGAAUCUUCCGCAAUGGGCGAAAGCCUGACGGAGCAACGCCGCGUGAGUGAUGAAGGUCUUCGGAUCGUAAAACUCUGUUAUUAGGGAAGAACAAAUGUGUAAGUAACUAUGCACGUCUUGACGGUACCUAAUCAGAAAGCCACGGCUAACUACGUG